rnacentral:rRNA from 1 species
UACGUAGGGUGCAAGCGUUAAUCGGAAUUACUGGGCGUAAAGCGUGCGCAGGCGGUUUUGUAAGUCUGUCGUGAAAGCCCUGGGCUCAACCUGGGAAUUGCGAUGGAGACUGCAAGGCUAGAAUCUGGCAGAGGGGGGUAGAAUUCCACGUGUAGCAGUGAAAUGCGUAGAGAUGUGGAGGAACACCGAUGGCGAAGGCAGCCCCCUGGGUCAAGAUUGACGCUCAUGCACGAAAGCGUGGGGAGCAAACAGG